AUGUUGUAUGAAAGGAAAAAGGUUAGCACUCCCCUUCACAAGGAUGGAAUAGGCCCUUAGGCCUUACAGCACACAUACCUUUAAGGCAUUGCCACCUACUUUGUGGCAUCUAAUCACAGUUUAAA
ensembl:snRNA U6atac minor spliceosomal RNA